rnacentral:rRNA from 1 species
CUACGUCGGGCCCGGUUAGUACUUGGAUGGGUGACCGCCUGGGAACACCGGGUGCUGUUG